GUGGCAUUAGCUCAGUUGGUAGAGCAGUUGACUUUUAAUCAAUUGGUCGCAGGUUCGAAUCCUGCAUGCCACGCCA
rnacentral:tRNA from 1 species